rnacentral:misc_RNA from 1 species
GGAAGCAGUACAAUCUCUUCCUGGGAAAAUUGGAUCACAGGAUGUUAAUGAUGUGCUUGCUGCUCUAGAUCAUGUCAUUGAAAAGGGACUUGCGGAUCCAUCUAAAAUAUCUGUGGUCGGUGGUUCCCAUGGUGGAUUUUUGACAACUCAUUUGAUUGGCCAGGCACCAGAUAAGUUUGCAGCAGCAGUUGCAAGGAACCCUGUCUGCAACCUCGCUUUGAUGGUCGGUACAUCGGAUAUACCUGAUUGGUGCUACGCAGAGACAUUUGGAGAAAAUGGAAAAACAAAUUUUACAGAGGCUACUUCAUCUGAACACCUUGACGCCUUUUACAGAAAAUCACCAAUUUUACACGUCUCUAAGGUCAGAACUCCUACACUUUUCUUGCUAGGUGCUAAGGACCUCCGUGUACCGAUGUCUACUGGAUUGCAAUAUGCACGUGCGUUGAAGGAGAAAGGAGGAGUGGAAGUUAAAGUGAUCAUGUUCCCUGAGGACACUCAUGCACUUGAUAGACCACAAUCUGAUUUUGAAAGCUUUCUAAACAUUGGAGUGUGGUUUAAGAAGCACUGCAAAUAGACUCAUGUCUUCACCAAAAGUCACAAUCCAACUUGAAGACGGGAGAUUUGGUUUCGUAGUCCAUAUAUGACCCUUUUCACAGCAGAUCAGUAAAAAAUAAACACAGGACAUGAGGUUCGUGGGGUCGUUUUUUCCUAUUUAAAUUGUAAGUGGUCAUAAGAGAUCGUUUCCUUUUUAAAGACUCGACUCUUCCACAAUCAGUCACUAGUCAG